AGCGAACGCUGGCGGUAGGCCUAACACAUGCAAGUCGAACGAAGUCUUCGGACUUAGUGGCGGCCGGGUGAGUAACACGUGGGCACGUACCUUUUGGUUCGGAACAACUCAGGGAAACUUGAGCUAAUACCGUAUGAGCCCUUAGGGGGAAAGAUUGAUCGCCGAAAGCGUGGCCCGCGUUAGAUUAGCUAGUUGGUGAGGUAAAGGCGCACCAAGGCUACGAUCUAUAGCUGGUCUGAGAGGAUGAUCAGCCACACUGGGACUGAGACACGGCCCAGACUCCUACGGGAGGCAGGAGUGGGGAAUCUUGCGCAAUGGGCGAAAGCCUGACGCAGCCAUGCCGCGUGAAUGAUGAAGGUCUUAGGAUUGUAAAAUUCUUUUACCAGGGACGAUAAUGACGGUACCUGGAGAAAAAGCCCCGGCUAACUUCGUGCCAGCCGCCGCGGUAAAAC
rnacentral:rRNA from 1 species